rnacentral:rRNA from 1 species
UGGGGAAUAUUGCACAAUGGGGGAAACCCUGAUGCAGCGACGCCGCGUGAGCGAAGAAGGUUUUCGAAUCGUAAAGCUCUGUCCUAUGGGAAGAUAAUGACGGUACCAUAGGAGGAAGCCCCGGCUAACUACGUGCCAGCAGCCGCGGUAAUACGUAGGGGGCAAGCGUUGUCCGGAAUCACUGGGCGUAAAGGGUUCGCAGGCGGAAAUGCAAGUCAGUUGUGAAAGGCAGAGGCUCAACCUCUGUAAGCAAUUGAAACUGUAUUUCUUGAGAUGUGGAGAGGCAAGUGGAAUUCCUAGUGUAGCGGUGAAAUGCGUAGAUAGUAGGAAGAAUACCGGUGGCGAAGGCGACUUGCUGGACACAAACUGACGCUGAGGAACGAAAGCGUGGGUAGCAAACAGG